rnacentral:tRNA from 1 species
AAGGUUUUAAGUUAUUAUAAACUAUAAGCCUUCAAAGCUUAAAAUAAAAAAGAAUUUUUAAACCUUGCC